GAUGAACGCUGGCGGCGUGCCUAAUACAUGCAAGUCGAGCGAACGGACGAGAAGCUUGCUUCUCUGAUGUUAGCGGCGGACGGGUGAGUAACACGUAGAUAACCUACCUAUAAGACUGGGAUAACUUCGGGAAACCGGAGCUAAUACCAGAUAAUAUUUUGAACCGCAUGGUUCAAAAGUGAAAGACGGUCUUGCUGUCACUUAUAGAUGGAUCCGCGCUGCAUUAGCUAGUUGGUAAGGUAACGGCUUACCAAGGCAACGAUGCAUAGCCGACCUGAGAGGGUGAUCGGCCACACUGGAACUGAGACACGGUCCAGACUCCUACGGGAGGCAGCAGUAGGGAAUCUUCCGCAAUGGGCGAAAGCCUGACGGAGCAACGCCGCGUGAGUGAUGAAGGUCUUCGGAUCGUAAAACUCUGUUAUUAGGGAAGAAAAUAUGUGUAAGUAACUGUGCACAUCUUGACGGUACCUAAUCAGAAAGCCACGGCUAACUACGUG
rnacentral:rRNA from 1 species